rnacentral:rRNA from 1 species
AUUGAACGCUGGCGGCAGGCCUAACACAUGCAAGUCGAGCGAGCGGCGGACGGGUGAGCAAUGUAUGGGGAUCUGCCUGACAGAGGGGGAUAACUACUGGAAACGGUGGCUAAUACUGCAUACUAUCGGAUGAACCCUUAUGGGAUUAGCUAGUCGGUGGGGAAAAGGCUCACCAAGGCGACGCUCCCUAGCUGGUCUGAGAGGAUGAUCGGCCACACUGGGACUGAGACACGGCCCAGACUCCUACGGGAGGCAGCAGUGGGGAAGAUUGGGCAAUGGACGCAAGCCUGAUGCAGCCAUGCCGCGUGUAUGAAGAAGGCUUUAGGGUUGUAAAGUUCUUUCGUCGGGGAGGCGUUACCCGCAGAGGAAGCACCGGCUAACUACGUGCCAGCAGCCGCGGUAAUAC